rnacentral:rRNA from 1 species
UACGAAGGGGGCUAGCGUUGUUCGGAAUCACUGGGCGUAAAGCGCACGUAGGCGGAUCUUUAAGUCAGGGGUGAAAGCCCGGGGCUCAACCUCGGAACUGCCUUCGAUACUGGCUAUCUUGAGUACGGGAGAGGUGUGUGGAACUCCGAGUGUAGAGGUGAAAUUCGUAGAUAUUCGGAAGAACACCAGUGGCGAAGGCGACACACUGGCCCGUUACUGACGCUGAGGCGCGAAAGCGUGGGGAGCAAACAGG